GUAUACGACGUAAGUGUGUUUUUAUAUUGCUUUGCAGUAGAGAAUAAAUAAGAAAUGGGAAAGUUCUUUAGAAUUAAACCAACAAGCAAAUCAAGAUGCAAUGUUCUAAGAGAUGUCAUAGUGAUGAAAAGUAAGCAGUUAGAGUAAGCAGUUGAGUGGUGCCAAAUUAACUAUAAACGUGGUUGGGCUGCAGUUAAUUCAGGAAGAUUUCCACUAAUUAACGAUCUUAGAACAAUUGAUGGUAUCAUUGCAACUGGAAAUAAGAAGGAAUAUUGCUCAAUUUUUACAAAAGAUAAAAAAAAAUUGUUAGUCUGUUAUAUAAAAAACAAGAAUAGGUGUUUUCGAGGUCUAAACAAGUUGGAAUUGACAAGAAUAAUGUUGAAUAUUUUGGGAGUAAAAAAGGAAGCCUGUAGAGACCUCCGUGGACUUCAAAUUACUAAGUUAUCACCAAAUGCUCAACGAGCACUCCAAACAAAGAAGCUUAGCAAGUCUUUUUGGAAGCGUUGGAAUGCAAAGUAUGAAAAGUACAUUACCAAAAAUAGACAAAGAACUAUAUCCAUGAAUCGUGCCCUUAACUCAAGUUUUUUGCAAGAUUUUGCCACAAAUAGCAUAUCUGAAUUUUUGUUUUCGCAACCAUUAACAUUUUUUUAUUCUGUGUUAUGUUCGUCAUAUUCUGAAAACACAUCAAAUAGAACUGAGAAUUGCAUUAUAUUAGACAAGCUCUAUAUUGUAUUAUAAAAUGUUUAAGCAUUUUUAAAAAAUUUACAGUUUUCUUACAAUCAAAUCAUCAAAAAUGGUCAGAUUUGUGCAAAACAUAAAGUAGUCCUUCUUAUCUUACUUCACAUUCCAUAAUAAAGAGUUUAAGUAGAACUGUUGGUGUUGUUCAAUUUAUCCCUAUAAAUUAUUUGUGGCUUGUUGUACCUGUUUGUCAUUAUAUGCUUCUACAUAUAUAAUUGAACUAAAUACAUGAUUUUAUUACAUGAAUUUAAA